rnacentral:rRNA from 1 species
UGGGGAAUCUUGUAGAUAGACGCAAUGGGCGAAAGCCUGACGCAGCGACGCCGUGUGCGGGAAGAAGGCCUUCAGGAGGGAUUCGCCGAAGCCACUCGGGUUAACAGCCCAGAGGGUGACGGUACCUCCAGAAGAAGCCCCGGCUAACUACGUGCCAGCAGCCGCGGUAAUACGUAGGGGGCAAGCGUUGUCCGGAUUUAUUGGGCGUAAAGAGCGUGUAGGCGGCCGAGUAAGUCUGACGUGAAAUCUGGAGGCUCAACCUCCAGCUGUCGUUGGAAACUAUUCGGCUAGAUUCCGGAAGAGGAGAGUCGCGCGGGAAUUCCCGGUGUAGCGGUGAAAUGCGCAGAUAUCGGGAUCGCGCAGAACACCCAUGGCGAAGGCAG